UCUCAGCUCUGCUGCUUCUCCCUCUCCUCUCAGCAGCAGGGGCCUCUCUGCAUCGGGGUCAUGGUGUUCAGCAUCACCCAGUCUGUGCAGAAACCCAUUUCCCCUGGGGGUUUCUGUGUUCGGUAUUUUUGUUUGGUUUCGUUCGUUUUUUUUGAUCGGGUUGUUUUGCUUUUGGUUGGUUUUUUUUUUGUAUGUCUGAACUGUUGCAACAGGAUGACGCAAAUUCCAGACAUGCUGACUGCCCUCUAGCUGUAUUUUCUAAAACAGUCCGAUCUUACACGAAUCUGUGUCCUUUUAUGGGGACUUUUUCCCACAGCAGCAUGGCUGCUCUCCCGUCCCACCCUGCGGCCGAGGGCCCUGUGCGUUCCCCGGUGGCUGGCAGGAUGGGGCAGUGUGUGCCAGAGCCAGUCAAGCCUGUCACCUCCGCUUAUUCCUGGUGGAGCCCUGCGUGCCACGGGAGGCAAGAAAGAGAUGAAGCGCUUAGCGCGGCUAAUCCUGGCUGCAGUGCCCUAAUGAAUGUCACGCACUGGUUGUAUGGAAACCGCUAGAGCAUGUGAACAUCCCUGAACAGUCAGCCGUGGAAAAGUCUCUAAAUUGCUCUCCAUGUGAGGGCAUUCAACAUUUGCACGGGCACAAAUCUGCUACGUGAUUUUUUUUUUUUUUUAAUGUCCACUGACUUUUACAGAAUACACACAAUGAAUAUUAAAUAAAGGGCUGAUGUUCCUGAAGUCAUUGCCCAUUACUGCACUCCAGAUGCCAUUAUGUGGCGUGAUUUUUAAAAACUUUUUUUUUAAAGGUCAUGCUGUUUAUGCUGCAUAAUAUAUAAUACAAUUUCACUGUAAAUUAGAAACAUACUUUCCAGCCUGCUGCUGUGCUUCAUGGAGGUGAACAAGAUUUGAAAUCACAGGUCUCCUCCUUGUGGGGAAGCACUUGUGGGCAAUAUUUAAUAGCACCAUAAUUGGGGGCUUUAUGGGCUAGUACUGAGCUAUGAAGGCCUCUCUGGGACACCUUGCUGCAUCUCCUGCCUGCUCUCUAGCCUCUCUAAAACAUUUUCCCAUUCUUAACACGGUGAAAUUUAUUUUUACUUUACUGUUAUAGGAAGUUUUGGGUAAGCUGUAACUUUACCUAACCCACAGCAGUUUUCUUUAGCUACAGAGGAUAUUCUCAGUCCUGACAGGUUUCUCUCCUAUCAGAGAAGUGGAGUUGACUUUCUGCAUGUUGAAAUAGUUGCAGGCCUGUUCAGUCCUUGUGUACACUAAUCUCUGGAAGGAUUAAGUAUUCUAGAGCAACUUUCAAAAAUGCUGUCCUCUUUCUUUCCAGGUAAACCACAGUAUAGACACUGGAUUUUGAGGGACAUGCAGCCCGAUUACAAAAUUCUCCAUGUGACAGCUCUUCAGGGAGCCCAUAUCAAAGAGAAAUCUAAUCUGAGUUGGGAAAAAUCUGUGACUGAUCCUGUCUUAGGUACACACAAACCGCAGAGCCAAGAAGAUAAUGCUGUUGAUGUUGAAACUCUUAGCAUCUCUUUACUGGAGGCUCAGAGAGGCAUUCCGAGGGACAGUCCAAGAGGAUUACUAAGAGAACAUGCACACAUCUUGAGGAUUUGCUAGUCACUUGUAAACCUUCUCACAAAAAGGAGCCAAACACAGAAAACAAUUCUAGCCAGUUUCCAGGACUGGACAUAGAGCGGUAUAAAGAGCCAUAACCAACAAUCGACACACUCACCCCUUCCUGAUGGGGAGCUGACAGGAGGAUUACAUUGCAAUGUCGAGGUGGAACUCAGUGCAGAUACAUGCAACUUACUCAACUAUUAAGAACAGAACAGAACAUUAUAGCUUCUUGUUUGUAUCCACGAUUGUGUCUGUAAAAAUGCUUUGUAAAAUGUGCAAGAGCUCUCUGGGUAUUUACAGGCUGUUGCCCUACAUAAACAACUUCACUUGUCAAAAACAA